rnacentral:misc_RNA from 1 species
AGUGACGACGUUGCCCGCCCUCCCAUCGCUCUCUGUGUGUCUCCAUCCCGUUCGUCGCUGCCCUGCCCUUGCUUCUAUCCCUUCCUCUGCCGCAAACGUGCGUCGCGGUGUGUUUUGACUCCGAAGCCGUCCGUGCAUGAAGUUGUGUGCGUGCCUGCAUGCGCGCUGGCGACAGACAGUCAUAGGGCGGCCCGCCACCACAUACCGCACCUGUGCACACACACGCAAACACACUUCUCUAUCGGGAGACGUUGGCGGAGACAGGGUGGCGCGACAGUCCCGCCGUCGUUCUACACGUCUUUGCGUCCCAUUCCUCGUAUCUCCCUUGGCCCCGUUUUGUGCCGCCUUGCUGCUCAAGGACACAACGCCUCCGUCCCUUCUCUCCGCCGUCCUCGGCCAACAUGGCGCUGAAAGGGUCUCUGCCGGGGGUGCAGUUCCGCCGCAGCCAGUCUAAGGAUGCGGUGCAGUUGGCGGGGCUCCUACAGCUAGGCGACGCCGUGCAAGACGGCAUCCCCACACCGGCUGUGUUUCGCAUCCACAGCACAAGCGACUUUGCCACCCUCAUUCAAACUGCGUACCUCUGUGUGACGGCGGUGCGUGACACUGCCGCGACGGCAAAUGGUGCUCAGGCCGAGGAGGCUGUCGUCGGAUUCAUUGCGCUCAGCGACGAGGUACAGGGCGUGAGCCACCGGUACGGCACCGCGAGCAACGGCGACGCAGACGAGAAGAUGCUCGAGAUGGAGCAGUUGAUGGCUUUAGCCGAGAACAUGCAUGGCGCCGUAAAGGGGGCGACGCUGGAGAACAGCCUGUGGCUGCGCAUGCUUAUUGCUCCGCCGAGUGACACCCUUGUCGAGGCGAGUUCGGCGACCACUGCCAUCUCGGCCACCGACACAUCUGUUGUGGCAGCCUCGCAACACAAGUCCUUUACGUCGGAGGAGAUGGCGAUGAGCCUGCUGCGCGCCGCUUUGGGCACGCUGAGCGGCAUCGAGCAUAUCUUUAUGUUCCUCGGCUCUGACUUUCCGAGCCUGGAGUCGGUAGCCGGCAUAGCGCCGCUAUCGGCCAAGGUAGCUGGCGUGCUUCCUGUGGCUUCGUCAUCGGCCCAUCAUGCGUCAACGCGGAAGCUUCUGCACCUCUCCCGCGCCACGGUGCUCCCCCCGCUUGCGAUACGUCAAGGCAGAGUGGAGGACUACGACGACGUCGUGACGUUGCUCAUUGCUGGUGGGCCAGGAGUCAUCACGCAGCUGCCGCAGGACUUCUUCCUGGAGGAGAUUCUACAGGAUCAGGACACGCACAAUAAGGUCGUCGUCGCCGAGAACAGUGUAACGCAUGAGGUUGUCGGUGUCGCGUGCCUGCGCCAGUUGACAAUGGAGGAGCAGCAGCACACAGCCCGGCUGUACAACACGGAUGCCCUCGACCGGCUGAAGCGUGUGAGCGCGGACGCAUCAGGGAAUGAUGCCCAGCCCGACAACGGGCUCUCGUGCACCUUCAGCAUCUUCUUUCUGUACUUCAACCGCGAUUUCGACCACAGUGCGUAUCGGCUCCUGCCGUACUUCUUCCACGAGUUCCCCACGUGCGACUACGCCACGCUGCAGCUGUCGCACACGUUACCAUUACCGGAGCCGAUGAUACUAGAGCGGUUCCAGUACAUUCCGCUGCGGCGUUAUCAACCGCACAACGCCCGUGGCGAGCUGGUGCCGGCCCCCGAUGCGCUAUGGGUGUGCCCCCGCGUGUCCAUGGCGAUGGAUCACGGCGUGCAGGCGCGUGUAGAGCUGCUGACAGAUCCUUGCAACGCCAUGCUGCGCAAGAAGGUGCUCUCUCAGUUUCCGGCGCCCAAUAAUACUUCUGCAUCGACGUUCGCGAGCCGUAACGGCAGACCGGCCGGCUCGGGUGCUCGCGCGGCGCUGCAUCAUCAGGAGAGCCGAAGCGGCGCCAGCGGUGCUCUCCCAGGAUUCCCGGGGAUCUCCGUGGAGCUGCUGGCUGCGCUGCAAGACGACUUAGAUGCGUCGGUGCCAACGGCGUCCCAAGGAGGCGAUAGUGAGAGUGGUGUAGUGACGCAGAACCGCUCCGUGUUCGCGCUCACAUGGGGCGAGCAUUCCGCCGGUGGCACCGCGGGCGUAUUGUCGUCCGCUGCGGUGGUCGGCGUGAUAUCGGUGCAGGCUCUUUCGGUUGCCGAGAUGUACGCGCUCCGUGCCAACUACGACCUCGACCGCUUCCUCGCUUUCAACGCCGCACAGGGGUUCAACUACGCAGCCACCGACAUCUCGCUUUCCGCAGAAGAGGGUCCACUGCGCUAUCGCUCGUUGGAGCUGCCUGGAAUUGUCGUCCGCUUCGUCUACAUUCGCCCCGUGUUCCGCCAGCACCUCAAGUUCUUCCUGCGCGAGGUACUCCGGCAGACCCAGACGGAGGUGAUGCUCCUGCUGACGAGCACCAGUGCGGAGCUGUACCAGACCGCCGUGGCUUCCUUCACCUUCGCCCCACCGCGGCGCGUCGUCGAGGUGGCGGCUGAGCGAAAGAGGAGGGACUUGAAUCUGUUUAUGAGCACGGCCGGCAACAUUGCCGAACUCCCUGAGGUUAACGAUGUGACGCCGACCGUGACGCAGAACACCGCCGCCGCUGCUGGCAAUGAGGAGACGACGCGCACUGGCCUGGAGCUGAGCUCUCUCUUCUUUACGACGCGCCGCUUCCUCGGCGACGAGCGGGUGCGUGUGCACCCGCGCGUCGUGAUUGUUGGUGCCAGCGCCACGGCACUCUGCAUGCUGUACGAACUCCUCUCCGUGCCCUACCUGGACUACCUGAGCAUCACCGUCGUGUCGACAGACGGCAUGCCGUUGCACCCGAAUCAGCGCCCAAUGCGGCAGUGGCGGGUGGAUGGGAUGGAGCUGCUGGAGCGGGAGUACAUGCGCCUGCACCUCGGCGAGGGAAUGAAGCAGGCGUCGUCGCUCAGCUUUGGCGCGAACACCAUCCGCGUCGUCCAGGGCACUCUCAUCGACAUUGACACCACCAUGAAGUUCGUUCAGCUAGAGAACAGCGUUUACGAGCCGUACGACCAGCUGCUGCUUGCGACGGGGCGGCAGUACAUUGUGCCGCCGUCGAUCCGGGCACUGCAGCAACAGGAAGCCCACGGUGCCCGCGGCGGCAUAACCGCGCUCUCGAACGAGGUCUCCGAGGCUCGACUGCGCCAAACGUUGGCGGAGCUGAGCCAGUCGGUGAGCGGGUCCAUCGCGAACAUCGUUGUGUACGGCUCCGGUCUUGACGCCAUUGCGACGCUCUCGACAAUGGUAUCCAUGGGCUUCCCCGCGCAGCGGCUGGUGCUGUGCCGACCCAACACUGAGCAGACGCCGUUUACCGAUGCUACCUGCGGCCAGGCGACGAUGGCGCUGCUCCGUGCGCUCGGCGUGACAGUGCUGGACGGCUACGGCGUCUCGCGUUUGGAGUUCGACGAGGAGACUCUGACGUCCGUGCUCUUGGCGUCUCUUUCCUACGAGCGCAAGGCAGGCGACGCCGUCGAGCUGCCAUGCGGGCUGAUAGUGUGCCUGGAGGAGAAAGAAAUCGACCGCAGCGUGCUCACGGCGCUGGCGAAGAGGUCGAUUGUCUUUGAUGGUCGUGUCAUCGUGGGCAGCGCGUACGAGACCAGCCGACCAGAUGUGCUUGCCGCUGGACCGGUCGCCAUGUUCACUCGCCGCUACGGCGCCACGGAGGCUUUCGAGGCUUUCAACCCGCGCGACGUCGGCAGAGAUGUGGCACGGGUGCUGCUUGCUCGGCUUGGCGUAAAGGAGUUCCAGGUGCUCCCCGCAACAGCGAAUCACCCGCAGAAGGACCCGGCGGGCCACACAUCGGCUGACAACAGCAGCUUGCUGAGCGUCAUGCACAACCAGAUGCUGGACAGCUCAGUCGUCAUUGGUGCGCCGUCCUCAAUGUUGGAGGGCGCGACGCAGGAGCAUAGCAAGCGCGUCCCGAUACUGCCGUCCUACACGUCGCCCGUGUCGCGCCGAGUUCGUCUUCCAUGCGGCUACCAGUACGUGAGCACCGUCCGCGGCUCCGCUGCCUUUGAGGCAAAGGAGUGCAUUCCGCUCCAGUUCAGCUCCACUGACAUGCUCAGCGUCCCGCUCGACGACGUGCAACCUUUGAGAGGCUCGUCGGCGGGGAGGGUGGCCGCGGCGUCGUCAUCGCGUGAGAUGAUGACCCUGUACGUCCACGCUCGGUAUCGUACAAUCGACGGCGUCGUGUACUUUGGCAACGGCACCCCUGAGGUGCACAACUACCGCUCCUUGAUUGGGAUGCCGGAGUCCCUAUUCCACCUGCAGUAUCGCUACAGUGAGGCGAUCAGCAAGCGCGACAGCACGGGCAGCGGCUCCUCCCCCAGCAUAGCAGCGCUGGGCGGGAGUGGGGCCACGACGACUCCAGCCGGCGUUCUGACAGUGCCGCUCCGCAACCAGCAGUUCGACCUCAUCUCGUAUCUUCGUCUGCCGACACUAAAGCCGCUCCUCACCGACCGUUUUGCUCGCUUCUUCUCGCAGCUCCAGCGUGACGUGCAGACAGCAGAGGAGGUGGUGGCUGUCCGUGAGCGUGUGCUGGCCGCUCAACAGGCAGCUGGAACACUGACGCCGGACGACGCAGCUAGCCGCGUAGCGGAGUUGACCGACGCAAAGGCGUUUCGGUACAAGGUGCAGCUCGCGAUUCUCAAGUACAUGCACGAAAGCAAGGACACACGCCCGCAGGACAUGUACCUGCCCAGCAUCGAGAGGCAAAUGGCAGGGAAAAGAGUCGUGGUGUAGCCCAGGCGGCGGCGGCCGGCACAUGCCUACACAGAUCGAUGCACCGAGAAUGCCGCGCAGCUGACGCCUACAUGGGCUCGGGAGACUGUGCCGCUCCGGCGCGUGAACUCUCAGGUCGGACUUUCUCCGCUACCGCUCUAUCAGCGCGUGCGUGUGUGAGCGCGUCUCUCUCGCGGGGAGGGGCCUUGCCUCUUCUCUUUUCUUGUUUUCGGCUGAUUCUUUGUUUCCUUGUUCGCCCUCCGCUCCACCCGCUUCGGUGACGCUCUUCCAUGUACAGCACGUCAUGGCGAUGACACCCACACGCACUCGCACACGCGCCUUCUGUCUUUUUCGGGGUUUGCCUGUGCUUGGCUUUAUGUAGGUAUAGCUCCACACACUCGCCGACAUGCACGCGACUGCCCUCCCCCGGUGCCGUUUUCCUUCUCCCGCCGGCCCGUCUUCGUUUUCUCUCCCUGUUUGUGUGGCCGCCCGUUGCACUCCUGGUGGCGU